UACGUAGGGUGCAAGCGUUGUCCGGAAUUAUUGGGCGUAAAGAGCUUGUAGGCGGUUUGUCGCGUCUGCUGUGAAAUUUCGGGGCUCAACCCCGAACUUGCAGUGGGUACGGGCAGACUAGAGUGUGGUAGGGGAGACUGGAAUUCCCGGUGUAGCGGUGAAAUGUGUAGAGAUCGGGAGGAACACCGGUGGCGAAGGCGGUCUUCUGGACGGUGACUGACGCUGAGGCGCGAAAGCGUGGGGAGCAAACAGG
rnacentral:rRNA from 1 species